GAGUUAUGCGUAAAUAGUUUUUAUAACGUAAAAACAAAAUAAAUUCAUUCAUAUUGUAGCACAAUAAACUAUUAAAUUUACAAUAUCAAGUGGGCCCACAAUAACUAGAAUUAAAGAAGCUGUGAAUCUAUAGUUUGGAAGACGCAAUCGAAUGGAAAUUCUCGAUGGAACCAGCUAUCUACAGCCUACUCUAAUCCUGAAAUGGGUGGAAAAGAGGGUGGUGAGAUUAUAAAAUCUCAGUGAGUAAACAAACACCAUUUAAAUAAGCUAAAGCCGAGUAAAAGGAGACAAUUAAAAUAUCCCAUCAUUUUAAGUAUUUCACAAUUUGAAAAUUCAUCCCAACCCAUGCAAACGAUUGUAUUUCAUUUAAUUUCUCAUUAGGGCUUAUGACUUUCAUAAAUAGUUGGCUCAUGCCAUCAAAUAUACUCGAUGACACCUUGAUCAGAGGCGUACAUUCGAGCUCACCAAGGCUGUUAAAAAUUUCAUAUACACAUAAAACAUAUUUUUAGUUUGAGAAAACACAACUGUUCCUUGGUGUUGGCUGAGUUCCCCUUCACAUGGUGGUUUGGCGUGAAGUGAACCCUAAGCUUUACCCCAAGAGAUGCCCUACGCGCCUCUCUGUUCGAGGUAAGAAUAUAAUGGGGUUUAUCGUGCCCCUCUAAAAGGUUGGUCCACAUAAACCCCCUACUGCAGUGAUUAAUUAAUAUAUAAUCCACCAAUCAAUAAAAUUCAUUCUAGCAUGACAUGGCAAUUAUUAUAAUUCACAGCCUUUCAAGGCUAAAUACACAUUUCAUAUAUUUCAACACCAAUACCAAUUCAGCCAUUCAUGCAAAUAUUGUCAUAAGCCAUUAGAUUCAUAAAUUUAAUUCAUAACAAGUGGUCUCCAAUUACUCUAUUUUUCAAAAUCAUCAUUCAAUUUUAAAACAAUUUAUAACAUCUUUUCAUGUAGACACAUUUUGUUUGUAAAACUCAAGAUUUACCAUUUAAUUUAAUUUUCAUAAAAUUUCAUCAAAAUUGAUCAAAAACAUACUUUAGAUAAUAAAAAUGAUGGUAAGGUUACUCACAGUACUAGGAGUUCGAUAUACUCCUAUUCCCGAUCUUUGAGCACAAUUUCUUUACCUUUGUUAGAAGGCUCACCACCUAUACAUUAUACGUGACACGAAUUUCAAUAAAUUGUGUCAAUUUAUCAUAAACUAUUUCAGGCUCUCUAAAUCUAAAUGAAUGCAUGCGAUGGGAUGCAAAAUGUCUGAUUAAUCACUUAAAUGUGAUAUUCGACCUAAAUCACAUUAUAAUCAGCCUAAUCGGCUAAAAUCUCCAAUUUAACUUCAAAUCAAUUCUUCUCACUUUCUACACUCUAAUUAUGCCUAAAUUACCUCAGUGACUGUGAAUGAAAUUCAACUUAUCAGUCCCGAGUCAAUAUUCACACGUCUACACAUUAGGUAAAAAUUCGAAUUUUCACACCAAAAUUUUCCAUUUAAUUUCUAGCCUCACCAAACAUCAAAUAUCACCCAAAUAUCAUGAAAUAUCAUCAAUUUCAGCCACAAUAUCCUCCCUAGAAAAUUCGGCCAAGAAUGGUGAUGGGGGAAAAUGAAUUCUCGUUGUUUUGUUUCUAAAUAUACUAAACUAACUAAAAACACUAACAUAACUUAAAAUCAAAUCAAUCUAACUUCAUUCUCUCUCCAUACCAAUUUGGGCAGCCAUGAAUUCACCAUGAAAACAUGAAAUCUAACCAUGGAAAAUAAGGAGAAAAGCAUGGGAAAGGUAGAUCACAAGUCAAAAUCAAGAAAUUUUACCUUUGAUUGCUUGAUUCCUUGAAAUCCCACACUUUUUCUUUAAUUUUCCCACCUAGGUUUCUUGUUUUUCUUUUCCUCUCUUUGUUCUUGCUAUGGCCAGC
rnacentral:lncRNA from 1 species